rnacentral:lncRNA from 1 species
GGAGAAGGGAGCUUGUUAACAUCACGGAUUCCUGGACCACCCCAGGAAUCUUCUGUGGUUAGGUCUAGGAUUUCUCCAGGCCUUUCUUUGGCACACGAGAGAGAAGGUACAUCACAAUAACAUAUACAGAGAAAAUAAUACUCCAGAAUCCUACCAGGACUGUAAAUGGACUCAGCAAGGCAAAUACUGAGGAGAAGAAUCAAACUUCACAUGGGGAAGGGCUCACUUUCAAAGAUCAUGUAAGAAAUAGGCCUAUUGUCUGCAGUUUUAAAAGCAACAGGAGUCAGUUUUGCACACGUGUUCCCACCUGGAGGUCUUGUGUUCAGAAGCAGAGCUUGUUAAACGGUCUCCAAUGACUGUGAGAAAUCCAGAUGCUCAAGCUCAAUCCAGGAUGCCCUGAGUCAACAAGUCUGAGGUGGGUGCCAGGAAUCUGGUUUGUA